GUGUGCUUACAAGUCGUCAGAGCCCGUUACUGGGUUAUGGCGUGCCUUUUGUAGAAUGAACCGUCGAGUUACGAUUUGAUGCAAGGUUAAGCAGUAAAUGUGGAGCCGUAGCGAAAGCGAGUCUGAAUAGGGCGAUUAGUAUUUGGUCGUAGACCCGAAACCAGGUGAUCUACCCUUGGUCAGGUUGAAGUUCAGGUAACACUGAAUCGAGGACCGAACCGACUUACGAUGAAAAGUAAGCGGAUGAACUUAGGGUA
rnacentral:rRNA from 1 species